AGUGAACGCUGGCGGUAGGCCUAACACAUGCAAGUCGAACUGCAGCACAGGAGAGCUUGCUCUCUGGGUGGCGAGUGGCGGACGGGUGAGGAAUACAUCGGAAUCUACUCUGUCGUGGGGGAAAACGUAGGGAAACUUACGCUAACACCGCAUACGACCUACGGGUGAAAGUAGGGGUUCUUCGGACCUUGCGCGAUUGAAUGAGCCGAUGUCGGAUUAGCUAGUUGGCGGGGUAAAGGCCCACCAAGGCGACGAUCCGUAGCUGGUCCGAGAGGAUGAUCAGCCACACUGGAACAGAGACACGGUCCAGACUCCUACGGGAGGCAGCAGUGGGGAAUAUUGGACAAUGGGCGCAAGCCUGAUCCAGCCAUACCGCGUGGGUGAAGAAGGCCUUCGGGUUGUAAAGCCCUUUUGUUGGGAAAGAAAUCCAGCUGGCUAAUACCCGGUUGGAAUGACGGUACCCAAAGAAUAAGCACCGGCUAACUUCGUGCCAGCCGCCGCGGUAA
rnacentral:rRNA from 1 species